rnacentral:rRNA from 1 species
GACGAACGCUGGCGGCGUGCCUAAUACAUGCAAGUCGAGCGAAUCCCAGGGAGCUUGCUCCCUGAGAUUAGCGGCGGACGGGUGAGUAACACGUGGGUAACCUGCCUGUAAGACUGGGAUAACUUCGGGAAACCGGAGCUAAUACCGGAUACUUUCUUUUCUCGCAUGAGGGAAGGUGGAAAGAUGGUUCUGCUAUCACUUACAGAUGGACCCGCGGCGCAUUAGCUAGUUGGUGAGGUAACGGCUCACCAAGGCAACGAUGCGUAGCCGACCUGGGAGGGUGAUCGGCCACACUGGGACUGAGACACGGCCCAGACUCCUACGGGAGGCAGCAGUAGGGAAUCUUCCGCAAUGGACGAAAGUCUGACGGAGCAACGCCGCGUGAGCGAAGAAGGCCUUCGGGUCGUAAAGCUCUGUUGUUAGGGAAGAACAAGUACGAGAGUAACUGCUCGUACCUUGACGGUACCUAACCAGAAAGCCACGGCUAACUACGUGCCAGCAGCCGCAGUAAAAC